AGAUUAAGAAGCUUCCUGAGUGCUGGAACAAGUGGAUUGCAGUGACAGGAGACUACAUAGAAAACUAGUGUUGUUUUGGAAUGGAAGGCAAGGUGUGCCCACUAGGAAGUGCUGCAACACCCCAAACCCAGACACAACAUCACAAUCACAAAUCCCAGUGCUACAGCGAGCUUUGUCCUUCUUUCACCCGAGUCCAAAUCACCUGUAAUGAGGUCAAGCGGCUUCUUUUAUGUUGGACCUGGGAGUAUUUCCGAUUCUAGGGCAUCAGCAGAUGGAAGGACUUCUGGGUCAAUCAGAAGUCCCGUAAAGUAGGAAUGAUGAAUCCCUGUAUCACCUCUCCGGCAGAACCCAACAAGGAUGCCCUUCAGGGCUACAGUUCCCAGUGUAUCUUGUGGGUGUCCAUUCAGGUAGUAUCAUCCUUGGACGCUGUCAUUUAGCAUGUUGUGGUGGCAUGUAAUCCUACCAGUUUGUCUCCCACUGAUCCUUCCACUACACUGGCCUACCAACAACAACAACAACAUUUAUUUA